rnacentral:ribozyme from 1 species
GAAGCAAAAAGGACGGAUGCAAUAGCAAGUUUCAUUUUUUUUUCUUUCUUCUUUUUCUUUGUUUUGCUUU